rnacentral:rRNA from 1 species
AUUGAACGCUGGCGGCAUGCCUUACACAUGCAAGUCGAACGGCAGCGGACCUUCGGGUGCCGGCAAGUGGCGUACGGGUGAGUAAUGCAUCGGAACGUACCUUUCAGUGGGGGAUAACGUAGCGAAAGUUACGCUAAUACCGCAUAUUCUGUGAGCAGGAAAGCAGGGGAUCGCAAGACCUUGCGCUGAUUGAGCGGCCGAUGUCAGAUUAGCUAGUUGGUGAGGUAAAGGCUCACCAAGGCGACGAUCUGUAGCGGGUCUGAGAGGAUGAUCCGCCACACUGGAACUGAGACACGGUCCAGACUCCUACGGGAGGCAGCAGUGGGGAAUUUUGGACAAUGGGGGCAACCCUGAUCCAGCCAUGCCGCGUGAGUGAAGAAGGCCUUCGGGUUGUAAAGCUCUUUCGGCCGGGAAGAAAUCGCACGGGCUAAUACCCUGUGUGGAUGACGGUACCGGAAUAAGAAGCACCGGCUAACUACGUGCCAGCCGCCGCUGUAAGAC